rnacentral:rRNA from 1 species
CAAGUCGAACGAGAAAACGGUAGCAAUACCGCGAGUACAGAGGCGCACGGGUGAGUAACACGUGGAUAACCUGCCUUUGAGUGGGGAAUAACCCUGGGAAACCGGGGCUAAUACCGCAUGACAUCCUGGAGCGAUGUUCCAGGAUUGAAAUUCGAAAGAAGCCCAAAGAGGGGUCCGCGGCCGAUUAGCUAGUUGGUGAGGUAAUGGCCCACCAAGGCUAUGAUCGGUAGCCGGCCUGAGAGGGCGGACGGCCACACUGGAACUGAAACACGGUCCAGACUCCUACGGGAGGCAGCAGUGGGGAAUUUUGCGCAAUGGGGGAAACCCUGACGCAGCAACGCCGCGUGGACGAUGAAGCUUCUUGGAGUGUAAAGUCCUUUCGGCAGGGACGAAUUAUGACGGUACCUGCAGAAGAAGCCCCGGCUAACUUCGUGCCAGCAGCCGCGGUAAUACGAGGGGGGCGAGCGUUGUUCGGAAUUAUUGGGCGUAAAGGGCGCGUAGGCGGUGUGGCAAGUCAGGUGUGAAACCUCCAGGCUUAACUUGGAGCUUGCAUCUGAAACUGCCGUGCUAGAGUGCGGGAGAGGAGAGUGGAAUUCCUGGUGUAGCGGUGAAAUGCGUAGAUAUCAGGAGGAACACCGGUGGCGAAGGCGGCUCUCUGGACCGCAACUGACGCUGAGGCGCGAAAGCCAGGGGAGCAAACAGGAUUAGAUACCCUGGUAGUCCUGGCUGUAAACUAUGAACACUUGGUAUAGCGGGUAUCGAAUCCCGCCGUGCCGGAGCUAACGCAUUAAGUGUUCCGCCUGGGGAGUACGGUCGCAAGGCUGAAACUCAA